UAGAUAACGUGCCUCUUAGUCUGGGAUAGCCAUUGGAAACGAUGAUUAAUACUAGAUACUCCUUCUUAUUAUAAUUUGAGUUGGGAAAGUUUUUCGCUAAGAGAUCGGUCUAUACCCCAUCAGCUUGUUGGUAGUGUAAGAGACUACCAAGGCAAUGACGGGUAGCGGGUUUGAGAGGAUGAUCCGCCACACUGGUACUGAGACACGGACCAGACUCCUACGGGAGGCAGCAGUGAGGAAUAUUGCACAAUGGAGGAAACUCUGAUGCAGCAACGCCGCGUGGAGGAUGACGCAUUUCGGUGUGUAAACUCCUUUUAUAUGUCAAGAAAAUGACGGUAGCAUAUGAAUAAGCACCGGCUAACUCCGUGCCAGCAGCCGCGGUAAUACGGAGGGUGCAAGCGUUAUUCGGAAUCACUGGGCGUAAAGGACGCGUAGGCGGGAUAGUAAGUCUGAUGUGAAAUCCUAUGGCUCAACCAUAGAACUGCAUUGGAAACUACUGACCUAGAGUAUGGGAGGGGGAGAUGGAAUUAGUGGUGUAGGGGU
rnacentral:rRNA from 1 species